AUGAAGGAUAAUGCCCUCAAACUCAGGUUGUCCAAAGGUGAGCAAGAACACCUGCUGCAGUUCUGGAAUGAGCUGGAAGAAGCCAAGCAGGUAGAACUUUAUGCAGAGCUCCAGGCGAUGAACUUUGAGGAACUGAAUUUCUUCUUCCAAAAGGCCAUUGAUGGAUUUUAUCAGUCCUCUCACCAAGAGAAAGUGGAUGCACGAAUGAAGCUCAUGACUCGAGAGGUGCUGGACAGUGCUGCCAGAUAUCAAGAUCAGCUGUAGGCAUGGAAAGUGAAGGACUUUUCCAGACUUCCCUGAACAAAAUGGCAGUUCUUCUUCUAGCUGCUGGGCAAGGGAUAAGACGUGGAGUUGCAUAUCCCAAGGGCAUAUGUGAUGUUGGUUUGCCAUCCCAUUAGACACUUUUCAUAUUCAAGCAGAACGUAUCCUGAAGCUACAGCAGUUAGCUGAGAAGCAUUAUGGCAAUAAAUGCAUCAUUCCAUGCAUGGCACAUCAUGACAAGUGGUAGAACAACAGGAUCCACAAAGGAGGUUUUCACAAAACACAAGUACUUCGGCUUGAAAAAGGAGAGUGUGAUCUUUCAACAGGGUGUGGUGCCUGCUAUGAGUUUUAGUGGGAAAAUUAUCUUGGAAGAGAAAAACAAAGUCUCUAUGGCUCCAGAUGGGAAUGGUGGUCUCUAUCCGGCUCUUGCAGCCCAAAACAUUAUGGAGGCUAUGGAGCAGAGAAGCAGCUCUUGUAUUCAUGUCUGUUAUGUGGACAAUAUAUUGGUAAAAGUAGGAGACACAUGGAUCACUGGAUUUUGUGUUCAGAAAGGAGCAGACUGUGGGGUGCAGGUGGUAGAGAAAACAAACCCCCGGAAUCAGUUGGAGUGGUUUGCUGCGUGGAUGGAGUACACCAGGUAGUAGAAUACAGUGAGAUUUCUCUGGCAACAGCUCAAAAGCAAAGCUCAGAUGGAUCACUGCUGUUCAAUGCAGGGAACUGUACCAUUUCUGAGCGAUGUUGUCAGUUUAUGAGCCUCCGUUGCAACGUCAUGUGGCUCAAAAGAAGAUUCCAUAUGUGGAUUUCCAGGGGCAGUUAAUGAAGCCAGAGAAAUUAAAUGGAAUAAAGAUGGAAAAUUUUGUCUUUGACAUCUUCCAGUUUGCAAAGAAGUUUGUAGUGUAUGAAGUAUUAUGGGAAGACGAGUCGUGUCCGCUUAAGCAUGCAGACAGUCAGAAUGGGAAGGACAACCCAAUCACUGCAAGGCAUGCUUUGAUGUCCCUCCAUCAUUGCUGGGUCCUCAGUUCAGGAGGCCACUUCAUAGAUGAAAAUGACUCUCACCUCCCAGCAAUUCCCUGCAGUGCUACAAAUGCAAGGUCAGAGACCAUCACAGCUGAUGUCAACUACAACUUGAAGGAUGCCAAAUAUGGACGAAUCCAAUGUGAAAUCUAUCCCCUCAUCUCCUAUGCUGGAGAAGGAAUAGAAAGUUAUGUGGCAGAUAAAGAAUCUCAUGUACCUUUAAUUAUCAAUGAGAAUGGAGUCCACGAGCUGCUGGAAAACAGCAUAUGA